UACGAAGGGGGCUAGCGUUGCUCGGAAUCACUGGGCGUAAAGCGCACGUAGGCGGAUUCUUAAGUCGGUGGUGAAAGCCUGGAGCUCAACUCCAGAACUGCCUUCGAUACUGAGAGUCUUGAGUCCGGGAGAGGUGAGUGGAACUGCGAGUGUAGAGGUGAAAUUCGUAGAUAUUCGCAAGAACACCAGUGGCGAAGGCGGCUCACUGGCCCGGUACUGACGCUGAGGUGCGAAAGCUAGGGUAGCAAACGGG
rnacentral:rRNA from 1 species